rnacentral:rRNA from 1 species
GACGAACGCUGGCGGCGUGCUUAACACAUGCAAGUCGAACGGAAAGGCCCUGCUUUUGUGGGGUGCUCGAGUGGCGAACGGGUGAGUAACACGUGAGUAACCUGCCCUUUACUUUGGGAUAACUUCAGGAAACUGGGGCUAAUACCGGAUAUGAGCUCCUGCUGCAUGGUGGGGGUUGGAAAGUUUCGGCGGUUGGGGAUGGACUCGCGGCUUAUCAGCUUGUUGGUGGGGUAGUGGCUUACCAAGGCUUUGACGGGUAGCCGGCCUGAGAGGGUGACCGGCCACAUUGGGACUGAGGUACGGGCAAGAGUCAUACGGGAGGAAGCAGUGGGGAAUAUUGCAAAAUGGGCGGAAGCCUGAUGCAGCAACGCCGCGUGCGAGAUGACGGCCUUCGGGUUGUAACCCGCUUUCGCCUGUGAAGAAGAGUGAGUGACGGUAAUGUGUAAAGAAGAACCGGCUAACUACGUG